GACGUAGGGGGCCAGCGUUGCUCGGAAUUACUGGGUGUAAAGGGUUCGUAGGCGGUGUGGCAAGUCGGGAGUGAAAUCUCUGGGCUCAACCCAGAGUCUGCUUCCGAAACUGCUGUGCUUGAGUGUGGGAGAGGCGCGUGGAAUUGCAGGUGUAGCGGUGAAAUGCGUAGAUAUCUGCAGGAACACCCGUGGCGAAAGCGGCGCGCUGGGCCACUACUGACGCUGAGGAACGAAAGCUAGGGGAGCAAACAGG
rnacentral:rRNA from 1 species